rnacentral:lncRNA from 1 species
GUUUUCUGGGGGAGAAGGAAGGCAAUUAUGGCACAUUUUAAAACAUUUCUAGUGCGAUUGGUGCGGAAGGUGAUAAUUAACUUCUUAAUAUUUAAAUCGCUGGCUGGGAGAUUUGUUUCAGCCAUCUGUAAUGAUAAGGGGGCAGGUCCUGAGCCAUUAUCAGCACUGUUACUGCUAAUUAGGGUAGCAGAGACUGCUAUUAAUAUCCUACCAGGGUCAAGCCAACAUUUAGCCACCUAAAACCAGGUGCCAAUCUUAAAUCCUGGCACCCAAAAUGAGUGUCCCCUGGGUGAGGCACCAGCCAGGACAGAGCCACACACCCUGGAGCUUUCUCCACAGCCCUGCUCAGGACCUCCGGCCACUGCCCUCGUCUUCUCUUUGCACCUGCGAUUUUAUUUCCUGGGCAAAUGCCAAAUUCAGCAGGUCCUUUGAGGUCCUGCUCCACUUUUAGGACCAAAUUGCAGCUCCACCUGGGUUAGAUCCAUGACACAACCGAGCAUCCUCCCAAUUUUGGACAUUUUAUGAUUUUUGGAGGAUGGAGGCGUGACGGUUAAGUUUGCAUAGCUGCAAAGCAGAAACUCUGUGUUGGGAAUAAAGCCAGGCAGGGAGCAGCAGUGGCUUCUUUAACAAAGGGACCUCAAAAAACAUCACUGCCUGCACCCAGGAAGAGAGCUCAGGGGGAUGUGAGCUCAGCCAUGGCACAAGCAUGCAAGGAGCCCAGGCAGGGUGCUGGGUGAUGGCACCAACCCAUGGGAGAUAGGUGGCCCCAUGGACACGAGCUGGACCAUUCAGAGACCUGGUUACCAAAAAAAAAAAAAAAAGGUUCAUGAAGUCUCUGGCUGACUCCAAACUAGUUAUUACAAAUGAAGAAAUAAACAAAAUUCUCCUUGAAGAAACUGCCUUGGGCUAUGCCCCCAGACAGAAGAUGUGUUCCCAUCACCUGUGGUCAAAUCGUGGUGCAUCUGUUGCUGCAAUGCAGGGGGCGAGGAAAACUCUCAGCUGGUGGUUUGCACACUGAAACUGCUGUGUCUUCGUUGGUGUUUGGGCAGCCACUCACCACCACCAUCCCGAGGGCCUGCAAAGCUAUGGUAAGAGUCAGGUCUGACUCUGGACAUUCAAAGGACACAGAAGUCAC